AUUGAACGCUGGCGGCAGGCCUAACACAUGCAAGUCGAGCGGAUGAAGGGAGCUUGCUCCUGGAUUCAGCGGCGGACGGGUGAGUAAUGCCUAGGAAUCUGCCUGGUAGUGGGGGAUAACGUCCGGAAACGGGCGCUAAUACCGCAUACGUCCUGAGGGAGAAAGUGGGGGAUCUUCGGACCUCACGCUAUCAGAUGAGCCUAGGUCGGAUUAGCUAGUUGGUGGGGUAAAGGCCUACCAAGGCGACGAUCCGUAACUGGUCUGAGAGGAUGAUCAGUCACACUGGAACUGAGACACGGUCCAGACUCCUACGGGAGGCAGCAGUGGGGAAUAUUGGACAAUGGGCGAAAGCCUGAUCCAGCCAUGCCGCGUGUGUGAAGAAGGUCUUCGGAUUGUAAAGCACUUUAAGUUGGGAGGAAGGGCAGUAAGUUAAUACCUUGCUGUUUUGACGUUACCAACGGAAUAAGUACCGGCUAACUUCGUG
rnacentral:rRNA from 1 species